ACUUCAAUACGUAUUUAAUGUGUAAUUGCAUGUGAUCACACAUCUAUAUCUAAGGCAAGUCUUUACAUUCCCUCAAAUUUGGCAAAAUGCAAGGUACACACAUUUAUAAUAAAUGAACAUGUAUUACACAGUAAAAUAUAUUGUUUAAAUGGAAUAACUGGUAGGCAACAUAUGAGGAUCAUGUAUUUAAACUACUUCUGACCCUAUUCAGUCUUGAUUCCUAUAUUCAGAAAAUCUGCUAUCAGUGGGGUAACUGAUGAACAUGAGAAAGAUUUGGGGGAUCAUUUGACAUCUUUCUAUCAGCGAUAGUCUACCAUUUUUUUGUGUGUGCCAAAUUUUCUAUUAAGGUAAUAACAUUUUAGUUUAGUUGAUGUAUGUUUAAAUUAUAGCAACAGUUACAAGACAAAGUGUGUGUUUGUGACACGAGAUUCAUGUUCACAGGUCAACCUUACCAGCCACUGUAUUACAAGCUAAUUCUGUUUAAACACUUGGAUUUUGGCACUUGUGAAUGCUUGAUCGACGGGACGGCUGGUAACGUUCAAAUGUCGCAGGACAGAUACAGUAGCGCAUGACUUGGCAUGCAAUUAUGCAUUCUUUCAGCUCCGUUGACACAGAAGAAUGGUUUGUGCCCACUCGAUGUCAGUAAAAAGACCCUCACUAUGGAGAAUACAUUUGGUUGGUUUACACUAAACGUUUGCUACUGAUAGAAUCUUCGACAACGGGAACGUUUGCGGAACGGUUUUCUAGGAAAAAAUGCAUAGUUGUUUCGGCGUGUUUCGCAAGCCAUCAAUUAAAAUCAAUUUACAAAACAGAAACGGGUUUUUAAGUAACGUUAGAGAGAUAGUCUCUGCUGCUUCGCAAGCCGCUUUUGUGGGACCUAACUUGAGUUGACUACUUGUUGAGCAUUUUGUCUUACGAACGUCGUGGGCAUUCACCAUGCACGCUGCCAAAGUCUCUGACACCCUGAUGGAAUUCAUGGUGGAUUUCUUAACCAAAAGCCGAAGAGAUAGCAGAUGGCAAUGCCAACAUUCCAGAGGAGCUGAGGGUCAACCUACAGAAGGCCCUGGACAUAGCGUGUGGUCUAGACGCCUACCUGGAGGAAAUGAGCAGCCAGUAAAGUGCACCUCUUGCCGAACUGUAUCAGUGAGUAUUUCCCGUGUCUGUCCCACAAACACAGUGCACAUGCAUGGUUUCUCAUGCACAAGUCUUACUGAACCUCUUGGAACACAACUGGGAGAAAUUUUUCGAGGUAGGGCAAAACUCAGUUUCGGCUUCCGAAAGGGUGCGUCACAUCACAGGGCAUGUGGAAGGUGAGCUGUCUUUAUUACCUGCAUUGGGUAGAGUUGAGUGGAUGCAUGGUUAGAGAGACACAUAUUUAAAUGUGCUAAAUAUUUGUCUUUCAUUAUAUUUCAUUGGCAGGCCAGACUCUGAAAAUGCUGGUUCACAUGAGUUGAUGAUCCUUGAGAUAGGCAUGUUCACAGGCUAUGGGGCUCUGUCAAUGGCUGAGGACUGCCCGAGGAUGGUUCACUGGUUGCCUGUGAGCUCGAGCCACAUCUUAAAGAAUUUGCUCAGCCCAUAUUUGACAAGUCUCCACAUGGCAGGAAGGAAACAGUCAAGAUAUGUUCUGCCAUGGAUACCUUGAAGGUGACUAGUUAAAGCGUGUUGUGUAAAAGCCUGCGGUGAUUUCACAUGUUGAUCUGCUUGUUUAAUAACCAGGUUAUGAAGUCAUGUGGAUAUACAAUGCAAAUCAAGUCACUUAUGGAAGCAUAACUAUUUAUAUUAAAAGUGUAAUACGUAUGAAGAGUGUAGCAAGUAGGCUAUGCUAUAUAACAUAACCAUUAUUUGAGUGUCUACCUAAAGGACACCCCUGAUGAAAACGGACUGGCGCUUCUGAGAUUUUAACCAGUUUGUCACAAGUGAUCCUCGUGUGGAGCAGGUCAAAGGGGAGACGUGGCUUGUAAAGUGGCGGAUGAUUACAGGGUAUUUUCUCUUGUGUUAAUCAGGAAGCGUUUGGUUUUCAAGGUCAUUCUUCCUCUCGGCGAUGGGAUCAGCAUCAUCCGCGGAGUAGGUGCAGGUACAGGUAGUGUAAGACACAUUCUCAGAACCACAUUUAGUUCAUUUUUUGUCCAUGUUUACUUUUAGCAUUGGUACUACCAUUGUUCAUUGGCAACGGUGGUUACUACUACCAUAAGUCAAAUGGUGCCUUUACAGUACUUAACAGCUCAUACAGACUUUUUCCCAGAUUGUUUACUACUCACAACUUGUGUCUCAGAGCAAGGUAACAUACGAUGCAAUAUUCCGUGGUGUGAAUAGGCGGUCGAUCGGAUGCGUCUGGACGGCAGGGUGGCCUAUAUGACAGGUGCAGGCCAGGGUAUAGGCAGGGCGUUCGCACAUGCUCUGGGAGGGGCUGGAGCCAAGGUGGCUGUCAUGGACAUGGAUCAAAGGAAGGCUCAGGGCGUGGCUGAGGAGCUCAGGCUGAAAGGCUGCAGGUCAUGUGAUGCUGAAGCAAGGAUAUGGGAAGAUUAUUAACACAGCGUCCAUGGCCAGUCUAAUAGUGCCUCAUCCACAGAAGCAGCUUGCCUACAACAGCUCAAAGGCAGGAGUGCUCAAACUGACACAAUCACUUGGCACAGAGUGGAUAGACAGAGGGGUCCGAGUCAACUGCAUCUCGCCGCAAGUGUUUGUCUCCCAUGUUUGUUAUAAACAGAGUAGACCUACAGUAUAGUAUCAAUGUCAGGGACUGUAUCCCCAUGCCAAAACAGUUUACACUUCACUUCUAGGCACAGAUAAAAAGGAGAAGAUGUCAAUCCUCACUUGUAUUAAGAAUGUACACAUACAAAAAGCCCAUGUAUUGUUUUUUUUUUAUUGACCUGCCAAGUGCAGUAUAGCACAUCAUUACAGAACUAUAGUGCUGAGCAGUGAUUGAGUGGUUUCUUCCUCUGGAAUGGCUCCAUUUGAGAAUGAGGCACCAGUUUAAGUCCUCAAACAAUGUGCUCAAGCUUAAUUGGAUGACGUCUUGAGGGAUGAAUCAACCAAACACUUGCUCUAAUUGUUGUAUUCAAUUAGGGAAUCAAAUUAGCAUCAUCACUACAAGUGGCUCCACAACAAUAGCUUGUUGUUUGUGUAUGUUUGCCUGUGAAGCCGUGCGGUGGGAAGACGAGGGCUGAGAAAGAGUUCUGCCUGUGUGUUCGGUGGCGCAUCCCUUAGCCACAGCCAUCCCUGAGCAAAUCCGUCCAGUGAGUCGGCUCGGGGGCCCGUCACGGCCCCAGAACAAAGCGCCCAUUCAUGCGCCAGUCGCCGCUUUGCUUUAUUUAUUGCCAGCUUGUUUGCUCAUUUUAAUUUGCAAAGAAGCAAUUCUUUCCCCCUGCUAACUGGCUGUCUCAAUGGGCCGCUGAUUUCUUUGAAGUGACAGUCGGUAAAUAUGCAUAAAAAAAGGGACACAAUUAGCGAGUGCGAGGUUGACUGCAGCCUGAUUUCAUUGGCAACUUUAGCCGCGCCGGUGAUAAGCUGCAUUAUCUACAAAAUUGGUUGAGGGAAAACAGCACCUCUGAUUGCCAGGAAAGGUUCCAGAUAACAGGGCGCUGAAGAGAAAUAUAAUUGAGGUGGAAUAUGUUAACUAUGGUGUCACAUGCUCCUUGGAGGCGCUAAUUUAUCCAAAUGUUGGAAUUUGUAUCAAGGCACAGCCUGGAAUACUGUAGGCCAGACAUGUUAGGUCUGGGCUAAAGAUGAGUCGACCGUGAAGCUUUUAGCUACUGUCAUAUUGAUUGUGUGAAAAGCCUGAAGUCGUCUCACAUUAGACACAGAUGUGUUGACAUGUUUAUCCAAGUUAUAUAUUUAAUUAGGUGGAGAGAAAAUCAUUGGUCAUGAUACACUAAUGCUGACAUUAGACUGGAAGAGGCAUCGUCUAGACUUGAAAGUGCCUAUGUCUCAGAGGAGGAAAUCAGACGAGGAAAUGCCUACAGUACCAACACACCUGUUUCCUUUAAAUGCCACUCAAGCACUCUGCCUGAAAAUCAAACCAGCUCAAGCACAUAUCAGGCAGGAAUCAAAGUGAGAUUGUGAGCAAGACGCAGAGAAAGUGCUUAUCUACAGGCUCCUGAAGGCAAAUUACACCCAGGGUCCCAUCGUACCCGGUGGCGCUUCCUGCCAUGUGCCAGUCAUUAAACGGCACGAGUCCCACUGUAAAUACCAUCAGAGAUGCUGCGCCGUGCCCUUUCUCUGAGGAUAAUUGGGUUUAUUUUUGUCACCAAAGCGGUGGCUCUGAAACACGAUGCCGCUGUCACUCCUGGCUCUGAAGUCUGAUGUCUCUGAUUCCUCUUGUUGAUUUUUUUUUUCUUUCCCUCCAUCCUUGUCUCUCCCUCUCUCAUUUCAGGGGGAUUGUUGACACCCCUCUCAUCCUCUCAGAGAGUCUGAGGCCUCUGGUGCAGUGCUGGCUGUCAGAUAUCCCUGCUGGACGACUGGCUCUAGUGACAGACCUGCAAGCUGCAGUGGUCUACUUGGCAUCUGACGCCUCCGACUACAUGACAGGGCAUAACUUAGUCAUAGAGGGUGGGCAAAGUCUGUGGUAGAGAGAGGGCGAUACUUUCUUUGUUCCACCCUUGGAUCACACAGCGAGGGAGAUACUUUCUUUGUUCCACUCUUGGAUCACUCUUGGGAAUAGGCACCUACUGUGAAUGAUCUCCACAGGGGAGAAUAGAAUAGAAUAACAUUGAGAGAUUAGGUCAGGGUGAUUACCUCACUGGUUUAGCAUUAUGUCAGAUUGGAGAUGGUUUUUGUUAAGUUUCAUACGGUGCUCUUCCAAUAAAUGGGUCAUAUUUAUUUAGAUACAAUUGUGCUUUUAUAUUAUAUCUAUGAUCGAUUUUCCUGACAGUAAUGCACACCUUGUUGCACAUUCUUAAUAUGCUGAUCGUAUCCCUUCUACAGGGUGCAAAUCUGUUUUUUCAUACAGAAACCCUUUACUCGCUUGCCUCUGAGUGACUCUUCUAAACAAGUAUUCAAACCAUUGGCCUCGACAAAGGUAUUUUGUUUCGUCCGUGCCAAGUUGUUGAAAAUGAUUCAUGCAGUAGUUCAAGAUAUUAAUCCGCUAAACUCAUGCUCUUUUCGACUGUGCAAGCAAGUACAGUACUAACUGGAUUGGGCAAAGUAAAUGAAGAAAGGGGAUCCUAUAAAGUGGCUCCACUGUACUGAGAUGUGUAUGGCAAGAUACUGUACACAAGACAGUCUGUCCCUCAAAUAAACACUAUCAAACCUGUAAAAAAUACAUGUUCUUUUUU